UGUGGGAGCGAGCCUGCUCGCGAUAGCGGUGUGUCAGUCAACAUAAAUGCUGAUUGAUUGAACGCUAUCGCGAGCAGGCUCGCUCCCACA
rnacentral:misc_RNA from 1 species